rnacentral:rRNA from 1 species
ACGCUCGACACCUACGGGAGGGCAGCAGUGGGGAAUAUUGCACAAUGGGGGAAACCCUGAUGCAGCGACGCCGCGUGAAGGAAGAAGUAUCUCGGUAUGUAAACUUCUAUCAGCAGGGAGGAAAAUGACGGUACCUGACUAAGAAGCCCCGGCUAACUACGUGCCAGCAGCCGCGGUAAUCUGAGCGGGCUGGCAAGGC